rnacentral:misc_RNA from 1 species
AAGUCGUAACAAGGUUUCCGUAGGUGAACCUGCGGAAGGAUCAUUAUCGAAUUGUAAAUAGGGGGUUGAUGCUGGCAGCCGAUUUCUUUUGGUUGCAUGUGCUCGCUCCUAACAAUAUUUAUCUAAAACACCUGUGCACCUUUUUGAGGGGGGUUUCCAAGCGAGUUGCUGCUUUUUGCGGUUGUAGCUUCGGAUUUCAAUCCCCCUCAUCUAUUACAUAUACACUGUUUUCAAUGUUGAACGUGAAUUGUGCCGUUAAAGGCCUUAAAUAAUACAA